UACGGAGGGGGCUAGCGUUGUUCGGAAUUACUGGGCGUAAAGCGCGCGUAGGCGGACCUGCAAGUCGGGGGUGAAAGCCCGAGGCUCAACCUCGAAACUGCCUUCGAUACUGCGGGUCUCGAGUCCGGGAGAGGUGAGUGGAAUUCCUAGUGUAGAGGUGAAAUUCGUAGAUAUUAGGAAGAACACCAGUGGCGAAGGCGGCUCACUGGCUCGGUACUGACGCUGAGGCGCGAAAGCGUGGGGAGCAAACAGG
rnacentral:rRNA from 1 species